AUUGAACGCUGGCGGCAGGCCUAACACAUGCAAGUCGAACGAGUGGCGGACGGGUGAGUAAUGUCUGGGAAACUGCCCGAUGGAGGGGGAUAACUACUGGAAACGGUAGCUAAUACCGCAUACCAUCGGAUGUGCCCAGAUGGGAUUAGCUAGUAGGUGGGGUAAUGGCUCACCUAGGCGACGAUCCCUAGCUGGUCUGAGAGGAUGACCAGGCAACCUGGAACCUGGACACGGGCCAGACUCCUACGGGAGGGAGCAGGGGGGAAUAUUUCACAAAGGGUGCAAGCCUGAUGCAGACCGGCCGGGGGUAUGAAGAAGGCCUUCGGGGUGUAAAGUACCUUCAGCGAGGAGGCGUUACUCGCAGAAGAAGCACCGGCUAACUCCGUGCCAGCAGCCGCGGUAAUAC
rnacentral:rRNA from 1 species